rnacentral:tRNA from 1 species
UCUCGAUUGGUCUAGUGGUAAGGAUACCUGCUUGUCAUUCCAACAAUUCGCAGGUGGCCGGGGUUCGAUUCCCCGAUCGAGAG